AGUGAGGCUGCCGAAAUAGGGAAGCAAAAGAGAAGCUUGAAAUGGUAUUAUGGUGGCGGGUCCCACUAAUAUAUUGUUCUUUUUGCUUUUGACUUUCAGGUGGCCUUUGUUUUGUGUGGUGGGCGGUUAGCUGAAUUAGAGGAAUAAAGAGAAAAUGGUGAUGUAGGUAACGAGAUCCACUAAUAAUUGUGAUCAUUAUUUUGAUUUUGAUUUUUUUUUUUUUUUUUUUUUUUUUUUUUUUUUUUUUUUGAUUAGCUGUUUGCAUUAAGUCGGUGGAUAUGCCUUUGUAUAUAGUGAGGUGUGUUUGUGCACGAAGUGAGGUUACAUAGAGAACCGUGCGAACAGACAGAGAGAGAGCCGAGAAGGACUUGAAGACUUUGAUGAUCCAUGAUAUUUCUUUUACAGUGGAUUUAGACUUUGCUACUGAAGGCAAAGUCGACGAGCGCGUCUAGAUCUACGAUUUAAUCGGAGCAAAGUCUCGUUUGGCCGCCAUUGGAUUUCGAAAAAUUGGACCCACUUUGGGGGUUUUCUCCUUCUUUGAGAUCACGAAAAAGAAGUGGUAGAUAACAUUCCACCACAGGCCUAAUAUGGAUUAGAAGAUGAUUUUGUUGUUUUUGUAUUUAAGUUUCACUAUUCUUUUGUAAAAUUUAGAAUAUUGUAUUCUAUACUGAGACUUAUGGACUUUUGUUAUUAUAAUUAUAUUCAUGGGCUGUAAUUUUAAUAUAAGUUGUCUAAACGUUGUAAGAUA